rnacentral:rRNA from 1 species
GUAGGGAAUAUUGGGCAAUGGAGGCAACUCUGACCCAGCCAUGCCGCGUGCAGGAUGAAGGCGCUCAGCGUUGUAAACUGCUUUUACUCAUGAAGAAUGUAGUCUAUGCGUAGGCUAGUGACGGUAAUGAGGGAAUAAGCACCGGCUAACUCCGUGCCAGCAGCCGCGGUAAUACGGAGGGUGCAAGCGUUGUCCGGAUUUAUUGGGUUUAAAGGGUGCGUAGGUGGUUUUCUAAGUCUGGUUUGAAAGUAGGUCGCUUAACGAUCUAAUGUGGCUGGAAACUGGAGGACUUGAAUGGGUUGGCGGUAGCCGGAACGGGUCAUGUAGCGGUGAAAUGCAUAGAUAUGACCCAGAACACCGAUUGCGAAGGCAGGCUACUACGACCUGAUUGACACUGAGGCACGAGAGCAUGGGUAGCGAACAGG